GUGAAUCAUCGAAUCUUUGAACGCAAAUUGCACUCUCUUCGGAGAGUAUGCCUGUUUGAGGGUGAGCCUAAAAAAAUCGACGUAGUCGCUGUUUCUGGGUGACAUUCGUCGGCAAUUGGGUCAUCUUAUACCUUUGGGUUUUUUAAGAGGCUUAAAAUUUUCUUUACGAUUCCACGAACGUUUCUAAGAGUUACUUCUUACGUUUAAGGUAUCGAUUUUUAUUAGACGUGUCCGUUGCAGCGGGUUACGUCCAUAAAUAUUUCGUUAACUGAC
rnacentral:misc_RNA from 1 species